CAGAAGCAGAUGGGAGAAAAGUCUGGGGAGAAACAACAUGAGCAGAAAACCACAGAAAUUGCAGAUGACCCAGGCAAGUUUGAAAAAUUGGCCUCUUACGAGCCUCUGUCAAGAGAGAACAAGAUGAAGAGUUCAAAGUCGCAAAGUGUGGUCUUGCCUUACCUCAGAAGUCAUGGGACGGUAGAAACAAUAAAGUAAGUUAAUCCAAGGGGAAAAUGGACUCUUGGGAAGAAGGCCGGGCCCCAGGGUCUCAGCCAGCUGCUCCCGUGGAUCCUGGGGACUGAAUUCCUCAUCCUUUGUAGCACACGAACAAUAACCCGACUGCUUUUCCCACCAGCCCAGGUCCCUGCACGCUGCACCCUUUC
rnacentral:lncRNA from 1 species